rnacentral:rRNA from 1 species
GAUGAACGCUGGCGGCGUGCCUAAUACAUGCGAGUCGAGCGAACGGACGAGAAGCUUGCUUCUCUGAUGUUAGCGGCGGACGGGUGAGUAACACGUGGAUAACCUACCUAUAAGACUGGGAUAACUUCGGGAAACCGGAGCUAAUACCGGAUGAUAUUUUGAACCGCAUGGUUCAAAAGUGAAAGACGGUCUUGCUGUCACUUAUAGAUGGAUCCGCGCUGCAUUAGCUAGUUGGUAAGGUAACGGCUUACCAAGGCAACGAUGCAUAGCCGACCUGAGAGGGUGAUCGGCCACACUGGAACUGAGACACGGUCCAGACUCCUACGGGAGGCAGCAGUAGGGAAUCUUCCGCAAUGGGCGAAAGCCUGACGGAGCAACGCCGCGUGAGUGAUGAAGGUCUUCGGAUCGUAAAACUCUGUUAUUAGGGAAGAACAUAUGUGUAAGUAACUGUGCGCAUCUUGACGGUACCUAAUCAGAAAGCCACGGCUAACUACGUG